ensembl:lncRNA
GAGAGAAAAGGAUAGCGACAGGGACAACCAGAGAGAGAGAGAGAGAGAAAAUGAUAGUGACAGGGACAACCAGAGAGAGAGAGAGAGAGAGAAAAUGAUAGCGACAGGGACAACCAGAGAGAGAGAAAAUUAUAGCGACAGGGACAACCAGAGAGAGAGAAAAUGAUAGCGACAGGGACAACCAGAGAGAGAGAAAAUGAUAGCGACAGGGACAACCAGAGAGAGAGAAAAUGAUAGCGACAGGGACUGUGAAAAGGAUAGCGACAGGCACAACCAGAGAGAUAGAAAGAGAAAAUGAUAGCAACAGGGACAACCAGAGAGAGAGAGAGAGAAAAAUAUAGCGACAGGGACAACCAGAGAGAGAGAGAGAGAAAAGGAUAGCGACAGGGACAACCAGAGAGAGAGAGAGAGAGAAAAUGAUAGCGACAGCGACAACCAGAGAGAGAGAGAGAGAAAAGGAUAGCGACAGGGACAACCAGAGAGAGAGAAAGAGAAAAUGAUAGCAACAGGGACAACCAGAGAGAGAGAGAGAGAGAGAAAAGGAUAGCGACAGGGACAACCAGAGAGAGAGAAAGAGAAAAUGAUAGCGACAGGGACAACCAGAGAGAGAGAGAGAGAGAGAAAAGGAUAGCGACAGGGACAACCAGAGAGAGAGAGAGAGAGAAAAUGAUAGUGACAGGGACAACCAGAGAGAGAGAGAGAGAGAGAGAAAAUGAUAGCGACAGGGACAACCAGAGAGAGAAAAUGAUAGCGACAGGGACUGUGAAAAGGAUAGCGACAGGCACAACCAGAGAGAUAGAGAGAGAGAAAAGUAUAGCGACAGGGACAACCAGGGAGAGAGAGAAAAGGAUAGCGACAGGGACAACCAGAGAGAGAGAGAGAGAGAAAAGAAUAGCGGCAGGGACAACCAGAGAGAGAGAGAGAGAAAAGGAUAGCGACAGGGACAACCAGAGAGAGAGAGAGAAAAGGAUAGCGACAGGGACAACCAGAGAGAGAGAGAGAGAGAAAAUGAUAGCGACAGGGACAACCAGAGAGAGAGAGAAAAUGAUAGCGACAGAGACAACCAGAGAGAGAGAGAAAAAAAAAAGGAUAGCGACAGGGACAACCAGAGAGAGAGAGAGAGAAAAUGAUAGCGACAGGGACAACCAGAGAGAGAGAGAGAGAGAGAAAAA